GUGCCAGCCGCCGCGGUAACACCAGCGCCACAAGUGGCAACCGCUUUUAUUGGGCCUAAAGCGUCCGUAGCCGGUCUUGUAAAUUUCCUGUGAAAUCGUUGUACUCAAUAUAACGACGUGCAGAAAAGACUGCAAGACUAGGGACCGGGAGGCGUCAGAGGUAUUCUUGAGGGAGCGGUAAAAUGUUAUAAUCUCAGGAGGACCCCCUGUGGCGAAGGCGUCUGACGAGAACGGAUCCGACGGUGAGGGACGAAAGCUAGGGGAGCGAACCGGAUUAGAUACCCGAGUAGUCCUAGCUGUAAACUCUGCGAGCUAGGUGUUGCAUAUUCUCCGAGAAUAUGCAGUGUCGAAGCGAAGGUGUUAAGCUCGCCGCCUGGGAAGUAUGGUCGCAAGACUGAAACUUAAAGGAAUUGGCGGGGGAGCACUACAAGGGGUGCGGCGUGCGGUUUAAUCUAAUUCAACACAGAGAAUCUCACCAGAAGCGACGGCAGGAUGAAGGUCAGUCUAAUGGGCUUACCCAACGAGCCGAGAGGUAGUGCAUGGCCGUCGUCAGCUCGUGCCGUAAGGUGUCCUGUUAAGUCAGGCAACGAGCGAGACCUAUACUCACAAUUGCCAGCAAGCUUUGCGAUUGGGCACAUUGUGAGAACUGCCCUGGAAACGGGGAGGAAGGUGUAGGCUACGGUAGGUCUGUAUGCUCCGAAUCUUCUGGGCUACACGCGCGCAACAAUGGCAGAAACAAAGGGAUGCGACUCCGAAAGGAGAAGCCAAUCCUCCAAAUUCUGUCUUAGUUCAGAUCGAGGUUUGUAACUCAGCCUCGUGACGCUGGAAUCCCUAGUAAUCAGAUUUUAUCAGAGUCUGGUGAACAUGUCCCUGCUCCUUGCACACACCGCCCGUC
rnacentral:rRNA from 1 species